rnacentral:tRNA from 1 species
GUUUUAAUAAUUUAAGUAAAAUAUUGGUCUUGUAAAUCAAAAAUAAGAAAUAAUCUUUUAAAACU